UACGUAGGGACCAAGCGUUGUUCGGAUUUACUGGGCGUAAAGGGCGCGUAGGCGGCUUAACAAGUCACUUGUGAAAUCUCCGGGCUUAACUCGGAACGGCCAAGUGAAACUGUCAAGCUAGAGUGCAGAAGGGGCAAUCGGAAUUCCUAGUGUAGCGGUGAAAUGCGUAGAGAUUAGGAAGAACACCAGUGGCGAAGGCGACUUACUGGACUGACACUGACGCUGAGGCGCGAGAGCGUGGGGAGCAAACAGG
rnacentral:rRNA from 1 species